rnacentral:rRNA from 1 species
UACGUAGGUGGCGAGCGUUGUCCGGAUUUACUGGGCGUAAAGAGCGCGCAGGCGGUCGUUCAAGUCGCGUGUGAAAGCCCCCGGCUCAACUGGGGAGGGUCACGCGAUACUGAUCGACUCGAAGGCAGGAGAGGGUAGUGGAAAUCCCGGUGUAGUGGUGAAAUGCGUAGAUAUCGGGAGGAACACCAGUGGCGAAGGCGGCAUCCUGGACCGACACUGACGCUGAGGAGCGAAAGCCAGGGGAGCAAACGGG